rnacentral:rRNA from 1 species
AUUGAACGCUGCGGCAGGCUUAACACAUGCAAGUCGAGCGAGCGGCGGACGGGUGAGUAAUGCUUAGGAAUCUGCCUAUUCGUGGGGGACAACAUCUCGAAAGGGAUGCUAAUACCGCAUACUAAUAGAUUAGCCUAAGUCGGAUUUGCUAGUGUGUGGGGUAAAGGCCUACCAAGGCGACGAUCGGUAGCGGGUCUGAGAGGCUGAUCCGCCAAACUGGGACUGAGACACGGCCCAGAAGCCGACGGGAGGCAGCAGUGGGGAAUAUUGGACAAUGGGGGGAACCCUGAUCCAGCCAUGCCGCGUGUGUGAAGAAGGUCUUAUGGUUGUAAAGCACUUUAAGCGAGGAGGCGUUACUCGCAGAAUAAGCACCGGCUAACUCUGUGCCAGCAGCCGCGGUAAUAC